UUACGGUCACAUCACCUUGAAAUAGCUGUUCCCGUACGAUCACCGAAGUUAAGCAACAUCGAGCCUGGUCAGUACCUCGAUCGGUGACCUUUUGGGAAUACCAGGUGCUGUAA